rnacentral:misc_RNA from 1 species
GAACGCACCUUGCGCCCUUUGGUAUUCCGAAGGGCAUGCCUGUUUGAGUAUCAUUAAUAUCUCACUCUUGAUUCCCUUUGUGGGAUCCAGACGUGGACUUUUGGAGGCUUGUGCUGGCCAUAACUGGUCGGCUCCUCUUAAAUGCAUUAGCGGAACUCUAUGCGGUCCCAGCCUCGGUUUGAUAAUCCUAUCUAUGCUGUCGCUGUUGGACUGUGCUGUUUGGCUUACAGUUGUCUUCGGACUGUCACUUUUGUGGCAUAACUUUUAAACUUGAUCUCAAAUCAGGUAGGACUACCCGCUGAACUUAAG